GCCGUCUGUGGAUCCGCGAGGACUUCUGGUUCCCCGUCGGCCGCCGACCAAUCGGUGUUCGCUGAGAAAAGGGGCGGGCCCCGCGGUUCCCUAGGUUACCUGUGUGAUUGACGUCCAGCCUCCUGCGGCGGAGCGCGCAGACCUCCCCUUCCCGCACACUGAGGAGAAAUCCGCGAGAGAGGGAGAGACGGAGAAGCGACACAUGGGCGCGAGAGGAACGCUUUUUGUCUAAAGUCCCUCGCCGCCGUCCUCGCGCUCUCUUUGCCGGAAGGAUGAACGCGGGAGCGCCGGUAGAAGAAGGGGACUCCUGAAGAAGGGACUCGUCGCUGAGGCCAGGAUUUCUAGGCUUGUCUACUGUAUCUGCAUAGGAGGAGGAGUAUUAAUUACAUAACGCUCCAUCUAUACUCCUGUGUGGGGGCUGUGCAGCAUCACGCUGUCCCACUGGUCCAGUAAAGCAUCCCUGCUACCGUCGUUCAGAGGAGAGUCUGUAGUCUGGAGGACGUGCAGCGUUGCUGGUGGAAAUGGCAUUGGUGGAAGCCCCCCCCUCCCCCGUGCCACCAUGCAGGACUCCCUAAAACCCCCCCAAGAGUCCCCGCGGGUUUCGGUGACAGCAGGCGCCUCCGUGCCCUCAGGUCUCAGCGGGGGAAUAAUCAAUAAAC
ensembl:lncRNA